rnacentral:rRNA from 1 species
UAGGGAAUAUUGGACAAUGGGCGAAAGCCUGAUCCAGCAAUGCCGCGUGAGUGAUGAAGGCCUUAGGGUUGUAAAGCUCUUUUACCCGGGAUGAUAAUGACAGUACCGGGAGAAUAAGCUCCGGCUAACUCCGUGCCAGCAGCCGCGGUAAUACGGAGGGAGCUAGCGUUGUUCGGAAUUACUGGGCGUAAAGCGCACGUAGGCGGCUAUUCAAGUCAGAGGUGAAAGCCCGGGGCUCAACCCCGGAACUGCCUUUGAAACUAGAUGGCUUGAAUCCAGGAGAGGUGAGUGGAAUUCCGAGUGUAGAGGUGAAAUUCGUAGAUAUUCGGAAGAACACCAGUGGCGAAGGCGGCUCACUGGACUGGUAUUGACGCUGAGGUGCGAAAGCGUGGGGAGCAAACA